CACGCGUUGAGGCAAAUACUUGGGUUGCUGAUAGAUAAGGUACUUACUCAAACGUGGCAAUUCAGCGUCACAUUCUAGUUCUUGUAAGCUGCCGUCUUUUAAUUGGGAUUCGCAAAUAGAACGUGGUAAUAAAGCCGCACCAGUGCCGAGCAAACAAAGCGCGAGCGACUGGCUCAUCUCGACCGUUUUAAUACUCGGUUUUUUACAAGAAAAUGGGCACAUAGCAAGGGGGUCAUGCAAGACCAAGUCAUUCCAAUUUUCAAUAGGUAAAUUCUGAGACAUCCAACUCCUUGUCGCCACGAGAAUCAUGUCCGUGGCAUCCAACUCCCUAGCAACUAAAUCUGUACUCACAGGGCUUUUACCGCGUAUGGCAAUAUCCACUCUAUUCGCCGCUAAAUCGAGUACUUGGUCACUGAGCAACAUUUCAAUCGUAAUAUCAGGGUAUUUUUUCUGGAAUGUCGUCAGAGCUUCUAAAAAAUGUUGAUUAGGCAGGGUGACAGGCAACGCUAAGCGUAUUUCUCCUUUCAGCUGCUCACCAAGCGAAAGCGCCGCGUCGGCAUCUUCAAAGGCGCUUAACGCCUGUUGGCAAGCCUCUAGGAGAAAGUGCCCUAGCCCAGUACUACUGGUUAAAAAUGAUUUUUGGCCAGAUCACGCGAAGAUAUUUGCUUCAGUUCACGUAGGAUCUGAGACAGAAGCUCAUUUAGAGCUUAACGAUACGAUGGUCGACAGAUUACUAGAAAUCACGGGUCGUAUAGGGUCUGACGCCUGCCCGGUGCCUGAAGGUUAAGAGGAGGGGUGAGAGCUCUGAAUUGAAGCCCAGGUAAACGGCGGCCGUAACUAUAACGGUCCUAAGGUAGCGAAAUUCCUUGUCGGGUAAGUUCCGACCUGCACGAAUGGCGUAACGACUUCCCCACUGUCUCCAAUGUAGACUCAGCGAAAUUGAAUUCCCCGUGAAGAUGCGGGGUACCCGCGGUCAGACGGAAAGACCCCGUGAACCUUUACUGCAGCUUGGCUGUGGCACCGGAAAUAAUAUGUGUAGGAUAGGUGGGAGGCUUUGAAGCAGCGGCGCCAGUCGUUGUGGAGCCAUCCUUGAAAUACCACCCUUAUUCUUUUCGUUGUCUAACCGCGUCCCUGGAUGGGACCGGGACCCAGCCUGGCGGGCAGUUUGACUGGGGCGGUCGCCUCCUAAAGAGUAACGGAGGCGCGCGAUGGUAAGCUCAAGCCGGUCGGACAUCGGCUGUUGAGUGCAAUGGCAUAAGCUUGCCUGACUGUGAGGUCGACGGACCGAGCAGAGACGAAAGUCGGUCAUAGUGAUCCGGUGGUCCCGAGUGGAAGGGCCAUCGCUCAACGGAUAAAAGGUACUCCGGGGAUAACAGGCUGAUGAUGCCCAAGAGUCCAUAUCGACGGCAUCGUUUGGCACCUCGAUGUCGGCUCAUCACAUCCUGGGGCUGAAGCAGGUCCCAAGGGUUCGGCUGUUCGCCGAUUAAAGUGGUACGUGAGCUGGGUUCAGAACGUCGUGAGACAGUUUGGUCCCUAUCUGCCGUGGGUGUUGGAAACUUGAGAGGAUCUGUCCUUAGUACGAGAGGACCGGGAUGGACAUACCUCUGGUGGACCUGUUGUGGCGCCAGCCGCAUUGCAGGGUAGCUAUGUAUGGACGGGAUAACCGCUGAAUGCAUCUAAGCGGGAAACCCACCUCAAAACCAGGUUUCCCUUGAGAGCCGUUCUAGACUAGGACGUCGAUAGGCCAGGUGUGGAAGCGCAGUAAUGCGUGGAGCUAACUGGUCCUAAUAGUUCUGUUCGCGCUUG
rnacentral:rRNA from 1 species